UACAGAGGGGGCAAGCGUUGUCCGGAAUUACUGGGCGUAAAGCGUCCGCAGGUGGCUGUGCAAGUGUGAUGUGAAAGCCCCGCGCUUAACGCGGGGAGGCCACCACAGACUGCGCAACUCGAGGGAUGCAGAGGGUCGUGGAAUUGCCGGUGUAGUGGUGAAAUGCGUAGAGAUCGGCAGGAACACCAAGGACGAAGGUAGCGACCUGGGCACCACCUGACACUCAGGGACGACAGCGUGGGGAGCGAACCGG
rnacentral:rRNA from 1 species